GGACAGUAUCUUUAUAGAACUGUACCUUAGAUUUGAAUUUCACUAUAACAAAAAAAUCUGCCUUGAUCUUUGAAGACAGGGACGGAAG
rnacentral:ncRNA from 1 species